rnacentral:rRNA from 1 species
ACACAUGCAAGUCGAACGAGAAGUACGUAGCAAUACGUAUUGUAAAGUGGCGCACGGGUGAGUAACACGUGGGUAAUCUGCCCUCGAGUUUGGGAUAACCCCGCGAAAGCGGGGCUAAUACCGGAUAAGACCACGGAGACCAAAGUCUCUGAGGUAAAAGGUGGCCUCUAUUUAUAAGCUACCACUUGAGGAUGAGCCCGCGGCCCAUUAGCUAGUUGGCAGGGUAAUGGCCUACCAAGGCAAUGAUGGGUAGCUGGUCUGAGAGGACGAUCAGCCACACUGGAACUGAGACACGGUCCAGACUCCUACGGGAGGCAGCAGUGGGGAAUAUUGCGCAAUGGGCGAAAGCCUGACGCAGCAACGCCGCGUGGGGGAUGAAGGUUCUCGGAUUGUAAACCCCUUUCGAUCGGAACGAAUCCCCUCCUGGUAAAUAAUCAGGAGGAUCGACGGUACCGAGAGAAGAAGCCACGGCUAACUCUGUGCCAGCAGCCGCGGUAAGACAGAGGUGGCGAGCGUUGUUCGGAUUUAUUGGGCGUAAAGCGAACGCAGGUGGUUUGGUAAGUCAGGGGUGAAAGACCACAGCUUAACUGUGGCAUUGCCUUUGAUACUGCCUUUCUUGAGUAGAGUAGGGGGAAGCGGAAUUCCGAGUGUAGAGGUGAAAUUCGUAGAUAUUCGGAGGAACACCGGUGGCGAAGGCGGCUUCCUGGACUCUAACUGACACUCAUGUUCGAAAGCGUGGGGAGCAAACAGGAUUAGAUACCCUGGUAGUCCACGCCCUAAACGAUGGGCACUAGGUGUGGGAGGUAUCGACCCCUUCCGUGCCGCAGCUAACGCAUUAAGUGCCCCGCCUGGGGAGUACGGCCGCAAGGUUGAAAC